CCCUCGAUAGCUCAGAUGGCAGAGCGGAGGACUGUAGAUGUUACAACGGUGAUCCUUAGGUCGCUGGUUCAAAUUCGGCUCGAGGGA
rnacentral:tRNA from 1 species